GGGGAGUGACUGAAGCCCGCAGACACCGGGCGCCAGCGAGAGUCAGAAGAGAGCUGAGAAACUCCGUGUUCUGGGUCUAUCGUGAGACUAUUGCCUGACCAGGAGGAAAAAGGGAAAUUUAGGAAUUCCAGAGAAGCCAAGUGAAUUCAACUAUAAUUGGCUAAGCCCAUAAUGCACAGUAACUGAAUUUUGAAAGAGAGAGAAGCCCGAACUCAAGCGACUUCACCUCGAUAGGACAGGUGUCUGCCCUCCAUUAAUGGAAUGACCUCCAAGUACCCUUCAGCUUUCCAGGUCUAAGAAUUUUUUUCAGUGAAUGCCAAAAUCUGAAGUUACCAAAAAGGAAGAAAGAAA